UAACGCGUGGGUAACCUGCCUCAUACAGGGGGAUAACAGUUAGAAAUGACUGCUAAUACCGCAUAAGCACACAGUACCGCAUGGUACAGUGUGAAAAACUCCGGUGGUAUGAGAUGGACCCGCGUCUGAUUAGCUUGUUGGCGGGGUAACGGCCCACCAAGGCGACGAUCAGUAGCCGACCUGAGAGGGUGACCGGCCACAUUGGGACUGAGACACGGCCCAAACUCCUACGGGAGGCAGCAGUGGGGAAUAUUGCACAAUGGGGGAAACCCUGAUGCAGCAACGCCGCGUGAGUGAAGAAGUAUUUCGGUAUGUAAAGCUCUAUCAGCAGGGAAGAAAGUGACGGUACCUGACUAAGAAGCCCCGGCUAACUACGUGCCAGCAGCCGCGGUAAUACGUAGGGGGCAAGCGUUAUCCGGAUUUACUGGGUGUAAAGGGAGCGUAGACGGCACAGCAAGUCUGAAGUGAAAUCCCCGGGCUCAACCCGGGAACUGCUUUGGAAACUGUUGGGCUGGAGUGCUGGAGAGGCAAGCGGAAUUCCUAGUGUAGCGGUGAAAUGCGUAGAUAUUAGGAGGAACACCAGUGGCGAAGGCGGCUUGCUGGACAGUAACUGACGUUGAGGCUCGAAAGCGUGGGGAGCAAACAGGAUUAGAUACCCUGGUAGUCCACGCCGUAAACGAUGCAUACUAGGUGU
rnacentral:rRNA from 1 species